GGGAAUAGCUCAGUGGUAGAGCGUCAGCCUUCCAAGCUGAGGGUCGCGGGUUCGAAUCCCGUUUCCC
rnacentral:tRNA from 1 species